CUUAUACUCCCUCGUCCCAAAAUUCUUGUCUUAGAUUUGUCUAAAUAUGGAUGUAUCUAGUUAUGUUUUAGUGUUAGAUACAUCCGUAUGUAGACAAAUUUCAGACAAGAAUUUUCGGACGGAGGGAGUAUUUA
rfam:Triticum urartu cultivar G1812 contig1223713, whole genome shotgun sequence.